AGUUAUAUAUAUCUUGUUGAUGAGGCUCCAAAUGUGAUAUCCACCCUGAUUAUUUUACUAAGUGAUUCAGAUUCAGCUACCUUGACGGUUGCUUGGGAAGCAUUGUCUAGUGUGAUAAGUUCAGUUCCUAAAGAAAUUCUUCCUUCAUAUAUAAAGUUUGUUCGUGAUGUAUAGAAACAUGCAGGGAGGACCAGUUCUAAUACCUGGUGUUUGCCCCUGGAAAGCUCUUCAACCUGUGCUUCCUAUGUUCCUCCAGAAGCAGCAAAGGCGGAGGAAGCUGAAGAUGAGGUUGAGAUGGAUGCAUUUCAAA